rnacentral:rRNA from 1 species
AACGAACGCUGGCGGCAUGCCUAACACAUGCAAGUCGAACGAGAUCUUCGGGUCUAGUGGCGCACGGGUGCGUAACGCGUGGGAAUCUGCCCUUUGGUUCGGAAUAACAGUUGGAAACGACUGCUAAUACCGGACGAUGACGAAAGUCCAAAGAUUUAUCGCCAGAGGAUGAGCCCGCGUAGGAUUAGCUAGUUGGUGUGGUAAAGGCGCACCAAGGCGACGAUCCUUAGCUGGUCUGAGAGGAUGAUCAGCCACACUGGGACUGGGACACGGCCAAGACUCCUACGGGAGGCAGCAGUGGGGAAUAUUGGACAAGGGGCGAAAGCCUGAUCCAGCAAUGCCGCGUGAGUGAUGAAGGCCUUAGGGUUGUAAAGCUCUUUUACCCGGGAUGAUAAUGACAGUACCGGGAGAAUAAGCUCCGGCUAACUCCGUGCCAGCAGCCGCCGUAA